UUUUUGUUUUAUUUUAUUUUAUUUUGUUUUGUUUUACUUGUCUUUUCAGGGCCACACCCGUGGCAUAUGGAAGUUCCCAGGCUAGGGGUCAAAUUGGAGCUAUAGCUGCCAGUCUACACCACAGCCAUAGCCACAGCCACACCAGAUCUGAGCCACGUCUGUGACCUACACCACAGCCCAUGGCAAUGCCGCAUCCUUAACCCCCUGAGCAAGGCCAGGGGUGUCCUCAUGAAUACUAGUCAGGUUCUUUACCGCUGAACUCCCUCUUUAACCUCCUCUUGAAAGUCCACGUUCCCCUAGUGUUUCUCACUGCAAUUUACAUCUUCCAUGUACACUGCAAUACAAGAGGAGCUCUCAAAAGGACCUGGAUUUGAAUCUGGACCUGUCCCUAGAUUUCUUCUUUAACUCAGGCUUUCUGGACUGGCCCAUCCAGCUGCAAUGGAGCUCUCUCACAACGUCAUGUCGGAACAAACUGUGGUCUUUCCAUGCAGCCCUGGAGAAGCAUGUUCAGAGGUUUCAAACGGGCCUGAGUUUAUGUGGCAGAAAAGACAACGGCCUCCUCCGGAGUGUGGAGUCCAGAUCCUAGAGUGUCAGACAGAGGAUCCUAGUCCUGAGUGCCUGGUGAAUCACUGUGGGAUCUGGACAAGCCACCAGCCCCAUGCAAGCAACGAAAUUCCAUGACACGGCAGAGGUUAAGGACAAAGGCUUUAAGGUCAGAGCAGCUGGGUCCCAAGUCCUGGCUCUGCCGCAUACCAGCAACCCUUGUAAAAUCUCUUAAAUUCACCUAACUUGUAAUUUGCCUUCACAUUCACAGGACCUCAGCUUAGGGGAAUUCUGAGAACUGAACAGGAUAACGCAUGUAAAGUGCUAAGUGAAGGAUGUCGUAACAGAUGCUACCGCCGUCCUUUCCUCAUUAACUCCGAGGGCCUGCUCAACCCGUCAGCAGAUCUGGAAUCUCGCUGCACUUGUUCCAAUACCCAGCUGGCCACCUGAGGAUUAGAAAUCAUGGUUUUCCUUUCCUUAGAGAUUCUGACGUGUAAUGGAAUUCAAUCCACAGAAUUUUACAGUUAAGCCAAUGCCUCACGAGGACGUGAGAGUAAGAUUCAGGCUUCACGAAGCACUGUGAGCUCAUCACACAAAGCUCCAACACUAUUUUCAUUUCCAUGUUCUGCCAUCAGUCACAUGAUGGGUGGGCCCUUCCGUGGGGACCAUAGUAGCCGGUUCUUCUCUGUUAUUUCAAGAAACGUUUUCCUCAACAAUCGAUAUGUACCAAAUAGAUACUGUGGAAUCAAAAUAAAAGCAGGAUCCUGCAGAAAGUUCCCAAAAUGCUUUUGGGUGCUCUCCAUCUGGAAUUCAGCAAGCUCAGAAACCACAGUCCAUCGCAUGCAAAUACUUAACCACUAUGCUGUGCGUUUGAAACUAAUAUAGGGUUGUUUAUCAAUUACACCGCAAUUUUUUUUUUUCUUUGAAGUUCAAUCUCAUUCUCCCCCCCUCCCCCAAGGCCACACCUGCGGCACAUGGAAGUUCCCAGGCGGGGAAGGGAGGGGAGGGGAGAGGAGGGAAGUCAAUAGUCCAUCGACACAAAGGCCUUACAAAGCCCGUUUUAGAGGAGGCAAAAGGACAAGGGAAUUCCAGCUAGCAGUUAGAUAAAUGCCCCUGGAGGAAGGAGGUUAUUUAAAGGAAGGAAGGAAGAAAGCCAAGUGGUUAAGUAACUGGGAAGACUAGACCUAUUCCCCAGGAAUAGGGCCCAGUGCCAAACGAAGUGACAAGUAACAGAGGGCAGGAGACCCCUGCCCAUCUUGCAGAUAUAGGUGGUGCCACCUAGAGCCCCGCACUCUCAUCUCUCCGAGGACAAGAACCUCACUCAGUACCUUUGUUUGGUUUUACCCUUUGGGGCUGCAAUGACCAGUAUCACUGGUUAUGGAGCAGGGCAGUAACUAUGGCCUCUCCGCUCAUUUCUGGCCCCAGCCACAGUAUGACAUAGUCAGGAACCAGUCCCCAGUUUCAACACUAGCCUGGUCACUGACAGCUUAUGCUGCAUCAUUUUAGAGUCUGCCUGGAUCUGCACAAAGCAGAGCAGAUGGUGCGGGGAGGAAUAAAGACUCUACAGUCCUCGGGCCUCAAAAGUGCUUCCACUCUCUGUGGGUCAGAAGUCUACGUGGGACACAAGGCUCCCUUGUGAGCGAAGAACUGCUUCCACCACACGUUCACUCCUGUCCCAUCUGAAGAUGGGCUCCGACGCAUUGGAGCCAAACCUGAGGCAGCCGCCUAGCAGGAAGCUUCGAGCUGCAAAGAGUUUUAAAAGUGCUAAAGAACCUCUGUUAGAACCAUCAGCAUAGAGUACGUUCUUCUGUACACGAAAACGCACAGCACUGUCAAUCAAUUACACAUCUAUAAAACUUGAAAAAGAGAAAAAAAGAACAUGCAUCCUUAGACCAGACUCCAGUGUGUACUGAGAGCUGGAUUUUGGAAUCAGGGCCAAGUUUAAAGGCCACUUCUGUCCCUUACUAGCUGUGUGACCCUCUGCGAGAUACCUCUUAACCUCCUAGGCCUCCGUUUUCACACCUGCAAAAUGGGAGCAUGACCAAGGCUAUGGGCAAGAUUACGAGAUGGUGCCUAUGACGUUCAGCACAGAGGGACCUGCCCCACACAAGUCCCCUUGCGUGAUAAAUCCUCUAAGUCAAGAGCAAGCACCUGGGAAGCUGGAGUUCAGGGGGGCCUCUCCUCAGUGUCACCAUGACACCUGCACUUCAGAUUUACAGUAUCCUUAAUUCAAUUCUCUUUUCUGGGGAAUGGCGCUAAAUUGCAAGACCAAUGAUGAAAUUCCUGUACAUAAUGAGGAACCCACAUGUGAGGCCUGAGCUAAAGCACUUCAUAUAUAUAUCAUUCUUAUUUAAUCCUCUGUGGAGGGGAGGAUAUUAUGUCCAUUUUACUGAUGAGGAAGUUGAGGCUCAGAGAGACGAAGCAGGUAGUUCAAGCUCAAACAGUCCCUAGGCAGCCAGAUCCAGGAGUCUCCUGCCACUGUACCACGCCAGGCUGCCUUCCAGCAACCAUUGCUCCUUCCAUGUUUUUUUAUCUUGCCUUCUUCCUACACCCCUAAACCCCAACACUAUACAAGCCUAAGAAUCAAACACAUGUCCUUCCACUAAAGCAUGAAAUUCCCAAGGCAGUGAGGUCUGGCAGGUCUGUAGCAGUUCACAAACGAACACUGCUACCAGUAGCAGCUGAGAGCCCCUACGAAAACCUGCACCUUCAGAAGAGGAAAAAUGGGGGGGGGGGGAUCAACGAUUAGCACCACGUCCUGCUCCCCUCAAAAGCUCUGGGCACCAUACAUAUAUAACUGGCACUCGAGGGGUGGCCACUCAUGCCAAGAAAGAAGAAAAAAAAAUUAAGCCAUUUUCCAGAAGAGUGACUUUUAUUAUAACCUGGAACAAAAACACCAUUUCAAGCAAUUUGUUCACGGAGAGGCAGGUGCACACUCCGCAAGGCCCACACUGACGAGGGUUCAUUUCCCGUGAGCUAUGGGAGAAGCAACGCCAUCUCUGUGAGCCCGACUUUGACACAAAGUCCAAACUCCUUCCAACACAAAGCAGACGGAAUUUACAUGUUUCUUUCGGCUGUAAUAAUAUGCCAGGAGUUCAUGUCACUGAUAAUAACAUAGUAUUAUUAAUAACAGUGGUUAAUGUUAUUCUCUGGCUUGGCAUGUAUUAACUCAUUUAAUCUUCAUAAAAUCCAUCAGAAAUAGAUACUCUUAUUCCCACCAUUACACUGUGAGACAAGGAAACUGAGGCGGGGAGAGAAGGAGGGGACCCAAGGCAGGAGGUUUGGACCCAAACCAAGGCAGUCAGGCUCCAGAACCUGCCCUUCACUGCCCUGGACUUUGGAAUCAAGACUACCUUCAAGGGAGUUCCCUGGUGGCCCAGCAGUUUAAGGAUCUGGCAUUGUCACUGCUGUGGUGUGAGUUGAAUCCUUGGCACAGAAACUUCCACAUACUGUGAGCACAGCGCCCCCGCCCCGCCCCCCAAAAAAGAAGACUGCCUUCAACUCCAAGGACGGCCAGUUGUGUGACCUUGGGCCAGGUACUCAGCGCCCACGACGUGCUGAGCCAACAGCAAACAGCGAACGGUGCAAUCAGGACCCCUAUUCCUACCAGGCCCUGAUCCUACCACUGCCAGCGCCUCCAGAUUGCCUUCAGUGCCAGGAGUAGCCUGGCCAGCAGCAGAGUGAUAACUGAAAUCCAGGGGCAGACUCCUUCCAUUCUUGUCACCCCCCACCCCUUAAAGUGACUUAAACUGACUAGAGUGACACCAACUGACCAGAAGCCCAACACUCAUGUCCUAAGAAGCCAGAUCUGGCCAAGGGCUCAAGUCCAAAGGCUCAUUCUGGAACCUCCCCACCCUAGUGUUUAGUCUGUAUUACAAAAUGCUGGUAUUCAGCCAUUUUUGACCUAGGAGAACUGCAAUUUCAUUUGAUUCAAUCUACUGGGAGGUGGUUGCCUAUCUUUAUUAAGGACCCACUAGACAUGCACUCAUUCAACAUAGUGGAGCCACAGCCUGCAGGUCAGGGACAGUGUCACAGGGGGACAGUACCCACAGCUCUGAGCAGGGGACAGAUCCUUCGUCUUUCCUCCCUCCGAGGAUAAGGAACAGAAUUUAGCAGGCAUCAUGAGGGUAACCAGCUCACCCUGCUCAAGGUCUCUGCCCCCAGGUCCCCAUGCAACCUGACACUGACCGUGGUGCGCAGGCUGGGACGGCGGCUGCACGGGAAGAAGGCCAGGGCACCCGGGCAGUUUCGUCAAUGAGGGGCUGUCACAACCACCAGGAUGUAGACAAAGAACAACAAGGCUGACCGGAAUGCCAAGGAGCAGCCCUCCGGUGGCGGUCGCCAAGACUCCGCUGACAUGCGCAGGUUUAGCAAGCAUCUUUCUAAAAACAGACCACGGCUCAGAAAGUUCCAGCGUCUUUCAUUUUCAAUAACCCGGACCAAAAAACCCUUCCAGCUUCUCACCCAAACCCAGACCUCUUCAGUCACCACGGUGGGACCUGAUACCUAGAGGGGCAGGAGUGAGGUGGAGCUGGCUGGGGAUGCCGAUUCUGCCGCCAAGCAGCCAGGCGCCCUUGGGCAAGUCACUAACCCUUUCCUCACCUGCUCUCGAGGACACAGACCUCCUCGGGCUCGGGUGGAGAGGAUACGAGGUGGUGACCGCGAAUCCAGCUGAUAUGGGGGAGGGGGGCAGUGGCCCUGCGUCCUGGAGUCCAGGGGGAGAGUCUGCUGUCUCAGGGCACCUCCACUUCCUGUUCCUCGAGACCAAGGCAGAGGCCUCAGAUCCCAGGAUGAGCAGAGCUCCGCACGCCCUGCGGCGAAGGAGCUUUCGAGACAGGAGCUGUCUAGAGGAGGAUACACGAGGACGAGCAAGGACAGAACAAGGACAGCACCAUCAGAACCUCUCAGAGAGCAAAGCACCUGAAGCGGCCGGGCGUGGCCACUGCUGUCUUGGGUGCACAGCCCCAGGCCCGCACACUGACCAAGCUGUGCUCAGCUGAGAAGCCAGGGACAGAUAAGAAACAAAGGCACAGGUGAGAGAGAAAUUCAAGAAUAGCUCCUUCAGUCGGGAGUUCCCUGGUGGUCUAGUGACUGGGAUUCAGGUUAGGAUUUGGCACUGUCACCACUGCAGCCUGGGCUCAAUCCCUGGUCUGGGAACUGAGAACCCAAAGCUGCUGCAUGCUGUGGCCAAAAAAAAAAAAGAGUAGCUCCUUCAGUGAUCACAGUGCCUUAAACCAGACUUUUCACCAGGAGUGUGCAGUGGAUACCAGCCCCAAAGUGCAUGCGGGAAGCCUGUCCACGUGAAAUCAGGUACAACCUUCCAGGGCCAAAGCCUCAUAAUGGAGAAGACUUGAGCAGCAGCAUCACAGGUGAGCAAGCCAGACCUGACCUGUCUACCUGUCACGGUAGCGACUGAGAAGGGAAGACGGUGCUUGGUUCCACCAGGAAAAGCUCGAUUCCAAUGGGAGGCUGCUUGCUAGUCCCCAACCCCAGCAGAAAGGAUAUGUGCAAAAGCAUCUUAUAUAACCCUAAUUUUUUUUAACCUUUUUUGACCUCGCCGACGGCAUGCGGAAAUUCCCCGAACCACGGACCAAACCCUUGCCACAGGGGCAACCCAAGCCGCUGCAGUGACAAUGCCAGAUCCUUAACCUGCUGCACCACAAAGGGACUCCAUAACCCUAACUUUUUAACUAAAGCUAUUUCACUUGGUAGCCAUAAUAAGUCCUCUGUCUGAAUCCUAUGGAAACCUCGGGGACAGUACACCCAAAUAAUGCUAAACAGCAAUGACUUCAGAGCAGAUCCUAACUCAGCAGGGUCCUGCUGAGCUCAGUGCUAGAAGAGGAAGCUGUGCAGAGGUUUAAGCAGUGGAUGGAGAAGUUCAGGGUCGGGUCAGUGGAAAUGACUGCUCACAAUCUCCCGGGUGGUAAGAGCUUCGCAGCCCGAAAACACUGGGUCAGAAUCACCAGCUGCAGGCAAGAGAGGCCACAACCACCUGCCUUCCAGGCUGCCUGGGAGAUGAAAUGAAACACCACCUACCUAUCAACCAUGCACGUUAAUAAUAAAAUAAUCACUCCGGCUGCACCCGCAAAGUACCAGGCACCGUCUACACUUUCCACACACAAACUCCGUCCUCACAAUAACUCCCAUCAGGCAGGUGGCUGAUGGGUUGCUGCCUUGGAAGAAACCAGACUACUGGACUGGAAAUCUCCCACUGGAAAGCUACAGGCAAAGGCUCCUCUCACAGGUUCCCAGAGCUGUCAGAAAUCCGAGGGGCGGGAACAGGAGGCGGCGGGGAGGGGGAGGCGGGCGGCCCACUGGCAUUGCCGCCCCCGGCACUGAUGCCCACCUGCCUCCUCCGUUUAAUGCUAAGACUCCUGUUCUGAUAGGUCUGACUGCAGGUGAGCACCCAGGGAGUGGAUGACCAGAGAUGCCGGCGUCCCGAGCACCAGCUUUGAGGGGAGGCAGGCCUCGGGGUCCCUGCCUGUGUGAUGAGGAUGCC
rnacentral:lncRNA from 1 species